UACGGGGGGGGCAAGCGUUGUUCGGAAUUACUGGGCGUAAAGGGCUCGUAGGUGGCCAACUAAGUCAGACGUGAAAUCCCUCGGCUUAACCGGGGAACUGCGUCUGAGACUGGCGAGCUCGAGUGCAGGAGAGGAACGCGGAAUUCCAGGUGUAGCGGUGAAAUGCGUAGAUAUCUGGAGGAACACCGGUGGCGAAGGCGGCGUUCUGGACUGCAACUGACACUGAGGGAACGAAAGCCAGGGGAGCAAACGGG
rnacentral:rRNA from 1 species